UCUCGGCUCACUCUUUCAGCCACAUAAAAUCCCCAUUUUCUCUCUCCACCUCUCGUUUGCUUCCCCGAAACCCAAAAUCCCUAGAAUCUCUCUCAAUUAAAUUCUCUUCGGAAAUUUUGUUCAGAUCCAGUCCCCGGAACCGUGAAAUCAGUUGGAAUAACACCAUUAGUGAAAUCAGAGGACUGAAAAGGAGCGUGAGACUGGCCUAUGAAAUCAGUCCUCUGUAUUCGUAUCUAUCUCUUAGAAGCCAAUCUUUUCUUCUCUCAUCUCCCCUCUCUCUUCCGCUCCCUCACUUCUCCCCCACUCCCCACCCAUCAUCUCCGCUGUCCAAUACCGCCACCCUCACGCCCUCCCCGCCGUCCAAUUUGAGGGGGACGAAUGUUGAAAAGGUUUUGUUGUGAGUUGUGACUUAGGAGUGAGUGGAUUGAGUUUUGAGGGAGUGAGCGAAUUGCAAAUAAUGUUUAGUGGUGGUGGCUCUCGAUCGUGUCUCGAAUCACCUACGGCUGCGAGACCGCGACCUCCGCCGCCGCCGCCGCCACCAACCCCAACUUGGUUUUGGAUUGGGUACUCGAAUCGCUGGGCUACGAGUACGACGCUCUCUCAAAUCCUUGUCUGCUCGUAGAAUCUCGUGCUUUCGCUCUAUCAUUCAUUCCAAGUCUCCUCCCGACAUUCCUACACUCUCCCACUGUUUCAGCCAACGAGAAGACGAAUGCGAGCUUCCCUCCGACGUAUUGUCCUCGGUGGCAGGAGGAAUAGUUGCACUGGGAAAAUUUGAUGCCCUUCAUAUUGGUCAUCGAGAGCUUGCUAGUUGAGCCUCAAAGCCCAACAGUAUAAUUUUAGCAAUUUCACCUGCUAAUCAAGAUCUUGUUACAUCUGAUGCAAUUAAAAUCUCUCGUGAAGUGGAUCCAACAGGGGAGAGGACAGUCGGAGUAGCCGGUUGAAAUUGUCAAUGUUCCUGCUGCUAAUGUAGCCUCAAUUUGGUUUUAAUGUUACAAAGAACGUCAAGGGCAGACAAUCUUGAGAAACAGUUGAUGCCAUGAGUUGACUUUGGAGGUAUGCAAUCCUUCUGUUAAACUGGUCUUUAAUUCAAUGUUUGCACUGAUCAGUGCAUGAAAGGUAGCUUGGAGAAAUUCUGGGUAUUAUAAUUUCCUGUGAGUUGCCUUACUCAAAUUGUAUUUAUGCCAGUAGCCAUCUCAUUCAUUUGUAGUGCCUUUUGACACACUUGUGAUAUUUGGAACAAUGGCAAAAGUUUACCGGCGAAAGAAAAAGGUCCUUGACAGGAACACAGUGCUUGGUUGUAACUUACAUGCCAUGUAACUUACAUGCUCUGAAAUUUGAAUGAUUACAGUAUUAUAGUAGCAUUUCAUGGAUUCUAGUUCAAUUCAUCUUCAAUUAUUUGCCUCAUUUCAUCUUUUGUUACUUAAUAUUAGUAGAGAUACCAAUUAUUUCAAUUCAUUUCCAAUAAUUUGUCUUAUUUCAUCUUUUUCUUAAUGCUCAUACAGAUACCUACUCCCUUGUGUGGUUGCUGCCUAAUUCCAAUUGUUGGUGGGGGUGGGACUGGCAUCGGUCACUGAGACCUUGUUUAAUUGGUGAGAUUCAAGUCAUAUAUAUCUUAAUGCCCACAGAAAAAAUAGACAAGAAACCACAGCAUAUAGAAUUGAUUGAUGAAUAAAGGUAAGAUUUGAUAUAUUGUUGUAUUGCUUUGUAUGUGAAUACAUAUUCUGGAGGGCUAUGGCUUUUUUUCUUCUGCACUGGAGUGCUCCUACUUGAAUUGCAUCACAUCCCCAAAAGAGGAGUUGGAAUUUUUCUUCACAUUUGAUUCCGGGAAGAACAAGAGAGCCUGGGAGCAGUUAUUAGAAUUGAGAUGGGUGCUUUUGCAACACCAGUUAUAAGGUCUUUUUCUCCUUUGACAACAGAGUUUGAUCGCUAAAGCAGGUUAAGCUUGUAAAGUGCCUUAUGCAAAAUAUUGUGGUUGAUAUAUCCUUCAAUCAGUUAGGAGGGCUAUGUACAUUAUGCUUUCUUGAGCUGGUAGUCUUCCACUAAAGCUGAGUUUUAUUAGUCCAGUUUUGCUACACAUGAUUGAAUGAGUCACCAGAUUUGGUUCAUGUAAAUGAUGCUUUCCUAGGAAGCUCUGGUUUAUCAGAUGCAAUUAUUAUUAUUUUUUUUCAAGUCUAUUAUAGCAAGUAAAGAUAUUGGACUUUGGUGCUCUUGCUUGUUUGUGAUUUUGGAAUUUUUUUUUUCUUGAUCAUCUUCCUGGUGCUGUUACCUUACAGGUUGAUCGCCUCAUUGUCAAAGAUCAUCUCUUUAAACGUAGUAUCAUACUGAUUAAGGCUUGGUGCUAUUGUGAGAGUCGAAUUCUUGGUGCCCAUCACGGUUUGAUAUCUACAUAUGGUUUGGUGACCUUAGUUCUUUUUAUCUACGUGUCAUUGUUUCAGGUGAAAGGAGAUUGAUCCUAAGGGACCACAGUAUGCAAACAACACUUCAAAACUUGAAUCUGAUCUCUCAAGUCAGUGGAGAUCGCUCCUUCUUCACAUGGAGGAUAUCUUCGUAAAUGAAGGCAACCACUUUGUGAGUGUAGCCACCUUCUUGUUUUAUUCAUUAUAAACUUACCUAUUUUUGAGUCCAAUGUCUCAAUUUUUAUGAAAAUGAUCCAAACUCUUUUGCUCUACAAUCCAAAUUAAAUAGCCUAAGUUUGUCAGAUCCUUAAAUCUAUCAAAAUGUGAUCUUUUGCUCUCUCUGUCAAGUCGCAACUUCUUUCUUUUGGGGUCUUAUUCUGAUAAAUAUUCUUGGUUCCGCUUGUUUUGCUACUUAGUUAUUGGUUGCCACUAUUAUCAUCAAUUUUGCCAAGGAACAAGAAGGUGCGUAGUUGUACACCUGACUUGCAUUCUAAGUUCUAAUGUAACCUUCUAUAUAUUAAAAUGAAUGGUUACAUAAUGGGAAAAUUGGCACAUCUUUGUUUACUUUUGCAAUUUUAGUUAUGUUGUACAUUGUGUGAUAUUCAGUACUGUUGUAAUGAUAUUUUGGGACUUGUGGUUUUACAACUUCCUUUAUCAAGUGUUGAAGAAAUCGAAUAUGCUUGACAUGAUUGGCUUCGUAGACCCUGCUCAGACUGGUGUCAUUGGCUGUGGAAAUCCGACUAAACGAGCUCGUUCUUUGUCAACUUCUUAUUAAAGAGGGAAGCCUAGUCAGAUUUUUUGGGUGCCCUAUAACUCGGGGUAUGAAAGCUUGAUUCAUGCAUAUUUUGUUGGCUGCCCAGAUUAAUAGAUAUAGGCCAUUUUGAGCUGAUGCUCAUGAAUAGGUUUGUGUACAUGAGACAAUGGUGGAUUCAUCAAAAUUGCAAUGAAUAAUUUUGGAUAUGGAUAUUAUGGUUUCA